UACAGAGGUCCCAAGCGUUGUUCGGAUUCAUUGGGCGUAAAGGGUGCGUAGGUGGCGCCGUAAGUCAGGUGUGAAAUCUCGGGGCUUAACUCCGAAACUGCAUUUGAUACUGCGGUGCUUGAGGACUGGAGAGGAGACUGGAAUUUACGGUGUAGCAGUGAAAUGCGUAGAUAUCGUAAGGAAGACCAGUGGCGAAGGCGGAUCUCUGGACAGUUACUGACACUGAGG
rnacentral:rRNA from 1 species